UAGUCCACGCCGUAAACGAUGUUCACUCGCUGUUUGCGAUACACAGUAAGCGGCUUAGCGAAAGCAUUAAGUGAACCACCUGGGGAGUACGUCGGCAACGGUGAAACUCAAAGGAAUUGACGGGGGCCCGCACAAGCGGAGGAACAUGUGGUUUAAUUCGAUGAUACGCGAGGAACCUUACCUGGGCUUAAAUGUAGAUUGCAUGAUGUGGAAACACACUUUACUUCGGUACUAUCUACAAGGUGCUGCAUGGUUGUCGUCAGCUCGUGCCGUGAGGUGUCGGGUUAAGUCCCAUAACGAGCGCAACCCCUAUCGUUAGUUGCCAUCAGGUCAUGCUGGGGACUCUAACGAGACUGCCACCGUAAGGUGAGAGGAAGGUGGGGAUGACGUCAAAUCAGCACGGCCCUUAUGUCCAGGGCUACACACGUGUUACAAUGGUCGGUACAAAGGGCAGCUACACAGCGAUGUGAUGCUAAUCUCUAAAGCCGGUCUCAGUUCGGAUCGG
rnacentral:rRNA from 1 species